rnacentral:rRNA from 1 species
GACGAACGCUGGCGGCGUGCCUAAUACAUGCAAGUAGAACGCUGAAGGAGGAGCUUGCUUCUCUGGAUGAGUUGCGAACGGGUGAGUAACGCGUAGGUAACCUGCCUGGUAGCGGGGGAUAACUAUUGGAAACGAUAGCUAAUACCGCAUAAGAGUAGAUGUUGCAUGACAUUUGCUUAAAAGGUGCAAUUGCAUCACUACCAGAUGGACCUGCGGUGUAUUAGCUAGUUGGUGGGGUAAAGGCUCAACAAGGCGACGAAACAUAGCCGACCUGAGAGGGGGGACGGCCCAACUGGGACUGGGACACGGGCCAGGCUCCCAAGGGGAGCAGCAAGAAGGGAACUUCGGGAAUGGGCGGAAGGCUGAACGGGCAACGCCGCGUGGGGGGAGAAGGGUUUCGGGUCGGAAAGCUCUGUUGAAAGGGAAGGACGAGAGGGGGAGUGGAAAGUGCACACUGUGACGGUAUCUUACCAGAAAGGGACGGCUAACUACGUG